AAGACAUGGAGCAGGAAGCAGAUUAUGUAGCGGCAGAGGUGAACAAAAAGCUAAGGGAAGGGAUACCUCCGGAAGAAAUCGCGAUAAUUUUCCGAACGGUGCAGGAUGCGUCCAUUACGAUAACGGCAUUUUUGAACCGAGGUAUCCCCUUUUUUAUAAAGGAAAAGGCAUUUCAUCUUUUUGAGCACUUUAUUGCCGAGGAUGUCAAAGCCUAUUUCC
rnacentral:misc_RNA from 1 species